AAAAGGACAGGCUAGUUUCUAGUCUUCAGACACGACAGGACAAUAAUAUUAUCCAAGUUGGACUGCAAUACUUGCUGCCUAGCUUUGAAGAUACUUGCUCUAUACAUUAUAGGGCAGGAGAAAUGGGCACUACAGAAAGGUAAACAAAAUAUGGUCAAAAUUAGUAUGCAACUAAUGCCUAAACUUGGGAUCAUUACAUUGGUAUAUGAAACAAAAAAGUAAGACAAGAAAGAAGAUACUUGUGGAUUAGCUUGUUGAUCACUCGACAGAAUACAAAAUAGAUACUGCUAAGAAUCCUGAAUCAAGUAUAGGCUGUACAGUCUGGAGGAGUUUACAAGAAAAGAUUAGAAGCCAAGCUUGGUUGAAUAACUUAAAAUUCUUGGAUAAAUUAAGCCGAUUUGUUCCUAUACCCUAUAGCUGUAAAUUAUUUAUAGGAAUUUUACAUAUAUUUUCCCCUUUUUUCUUCAUAGUUUUUUGCCUUAAUUCUAGCCUUAUGUAUAUAAUUAGCAGUAGACAAGUACACAAUUCAUUGAGUCAAAUUAAUAGAAAUUCAUUUUUCAUCUUUUCUCUCAUGGUAUCAGAGCCCCUCUUAAAGAGUUCUAGGAUUUUUUAUUUAUUUUAUUUUAUUUUUAAAGUAGUUUUCAUUACAAGAGUUGCUAGAGGACAAUGUUUAAAGCUAUUGGAUUACCAGAAAAACUCAUCCAAACCCUAGAUCUCUCUAAAGAGUGUAGGAAUGUAUCUAUAGAUCCUAGAUGCAACAAAAAUUAAUAUGCCUUUUAAAACUUAUUCUACAAUGAGAAACAAUUAGCAAUCAUACCUCAAAUUUGAAAGUUCUCAAAUUAGUUUUCCAAUUGAUGAGGAACAAUCUCAAAGAUUUAGAGACUUCCAAGCGAUGGCUCUUCCUUGGAUCUU
rnacentral:lncRNA from 1 species